rnacentral:rRNA from 1 species
UACGUAGGGUGCAAGCGUUAAUCGGAAUUACUGGGCGUAAAGCGUGCGCAGGCGGCUUUGCAAGACAGAUGUGAAAUCCCCGGGCUCAACCUGGGAACUGCAUUUGUGACUGCAUGGCUAGAGUACGGUAGAGGGGGAUGGAAUUCCGCGUGUAGCAGUGAAAUGCGUAGAUAUGCGGAGGAACACCGAUGGCGAAGGCAAUCCCCUGGACCUGUACUGACGCUCAUGCACGAAAGCGUGGGGAACAAACAGG